AUGACCUACAGGGGGCAGCAGUGAGGAAUAUUGGUCAAUGGGCGGAAGCCUGAACCAGCCAAGUCGCGUGAGGGAUUAAGGCCCUACGGGUCGUAAACCUCUUUUGCCGGGGAGCAAGGGCGGGGACGUGUCUCGGCCCGGAGAGUACCCGGAGAAAAAGCAUCGGCUAACUCCGUGCCGGCAGCCGCGGUAAUACGGAGGAUGCGAGCGUUAUCCGGAUUUAUUGGGUUUAAAGGGUGCGUAGGCGGGCUUUUAAGUCAGCGGGAAAAAU
rnacentral:rRNA from 1 species